rnacentral:rRNA from 1 species
UACGUAGGGUGCGAGCGUUAAUCGGAAUUACUGGGCGUAAAGCGUGCGCAGGCGGUUUUCCAAGACAGAUGUGAAAUCCCCGGGCUCAACCCUGGGAAUGGCAUUUGUGACUGGAAGGCUAGAGUGUGUCAGAGGGGGGUAGAAUUCCACGUGUAGCAGUGAAAUGCGUAGAGAUGUGGAGGAAUACCGAUGGCGAAGGCAGCCCCCUGGGAUAACACUGACGCUCAUGCACGAAAGCGUGGGGAGCAAACAGG